UUUGAGUCUUGCAGCAACUAUAAAAUCUGUCAGGAUCAAAGCUAGACAGAGGAACUAUGAGGCACAUCUUUACGGAUUAAACCAAGCUAUAAAAAAGAAAACAGAUCAGAAUGAUAUAAGAUGUUAUUCAGAGAAAUGUUUCACUUGAGGAACAGGAACCUUAUGACAUGAAGCUUCAAUCGCAUAUUAAUAGGAGUUACAAAAGGAAUCUUCCCCCUCAUACUCAUGUAAGUCCAUGAGUUUAUUUACUCAUUAUUUGAUUCAAUGCUGCUCUUUUUCUAUUCAAUGCUCUCUAACAGAAUUAGAUUGAACAUACCUUGAACUUUUAUUUUAUUAUGUAGAAAUAUCAGAAAUCAUAUUACAAAUGCCAAUACAUGUUCUUUUUUUUCCCAGAGACUCUUAAUUUAUUUACACUA